rnacentral:rRNA from 1 species
CCUACGGGAGGCAGCAGUGGGGAAUUUUCCGCAAUGGGCGAAAGCCUGACGGAGCAAUACCGCGUGAGGGAGGAAGGCUCUUGGGUUGUAAACCUCUUUUUUCAGGGAAGAUAAUGACGGUACCUGAGGAAUAAGCAUCGGCUAACUCCGUGCCAGCAGCCGCGGUAAUACGGAGGAUGCAAGCGUUAUCCGGAAUGAUUGGGCGUAAAGCGUCCGCAGGUGGUUUUAAAAGUCUGUUGUUAAAGCGUGAGGCUUAACCUCAUAAGGGCAAUGGAAACUGUAAGACUAGAGUACGUUCGGGGCAAGGGGAAUUCCCAGUGUAGCGGUGAAAUGCGUAGAGAUUGGGAAGAACACCGGUGGCGAACGCGCCUUGCUAGGCCGUAACUGACACUGAGGGACGAAAGCUAGGGGAGCGAAUGGGAUUAGAUACCCCAGUAGUCCUAGCCGUAAACGAUGGAUACUAGGCGUUGUCUGUAUACGACCGACGAGUGCGUACGACUACGUACGUAGUACUACCGUCCGUCGGUAGGUACGACGACGCAGUAGUGUAACUACAAUAGUAAGUUAGACGGCGUGAGACGUCGCCGACGACGACGACGAGGGAGUAGG